rnacentral:misc_RNA from 1 species
AGGAGCGCGUUUCUGAGCGAGGGAGUUUCUCCUUCCCGGAGGAACGAGUUGAGUAGUCAUGUUGAAGGAAACAGUGAAUUUAGGGUUCAAAUUGGUUGAGAAAGGAAUCGGAUGUGGAAUUUAAACAUGAAGAAAGGGUUAAUGGAAUUGAGAAGGUUGAUUUGGGAGGAAGAAAGCGAGCGGAGAGAGAGAUUAGAGGUUUGAAUGAAGGCUACGGUGGUUCUCUAACUCUCUCCCGACCGUCGCAACCGUGAACCGUGGAAACCUUUUCU